rnacentral:lncRNA from 1 species
UAUCAAAAGAGGACUAAGUAUAUUGAUAUCAGAUAUCGUUUUAUUUAGAAUAUUGUAUCACAAUAGGUUAUUGUACUAAAAAAGAUUAUUAUAGCAAAUAAGCGGAUAUGAUGGCUAAGCUAGUUACUACUCUCAAGUUCAAGCAUUGCAUGGAUUUGAUUCAUAGUUUGAGAUAUUAAGCUAGAUCGUUAAGAGCAUUGUUGAAGGAGAUGGAGAGGAGUUCACUAUUUUAUAUUACCGUUUGAUGAAAUUCAAGUUAAGUUGGAGAUUUCUUGAGUAUGGUUUGAAUUUUAGUGUGAUAUGGUUUAUCACUUGAUUUGACUAUAUUGUAAUCAUGUCUUUUGUUAUUUGAGUCUCUGCAUUUUAUUCAUACUUUAUCUUAUCAUAUAGUGAAAUCUCUACCCAUCUUUAUCCGUAGAUGUAGGCCAA